GGGGACAACAGCCGGAAACGGCUGCUAAUACCGCAUACGCCCUACGGGGGAAAGGAGGGGAUCUUCGGACCUUUCGCUAUUAGAUGAGCCCGCGUUAGAUUAGCUAGUUGGUAGGGUAAGAGCCUACCAAGGCGACGAUCUAUAGCUGGUCUGAGAGGAUGAUCAGCCACACUGGGACUGAGACACGGCCCAGACUCCUACGGGAGGCAGCAGUGGGGAAUAUUGCGCAAUGGGCGAAAGCCUGACGCAGCCAUGCCGCGUGUGUGAAGAAGGCCUUAGGGUUGUAAAGCACUUUCAAUGGGGAGGAAAGGUUGUAAGCUAAUACCUUGCAACUGUGACGUUACCCAUACAAGAAGCACCGG
rnacentral:rRNA from 1 species